rnacentral:rRNA from 1 species
CCUACGGGGUGCAGCAGUGGGGAAUAUUGGACAAUGGGCGAAAGCCUGAUCCAGCCAUGCCGCGUGUGUGAAGAAGGCCUUCGGGUUGUAAAGCACUUUCAGUGGGGAAGAAAGCCUUGGGGCUAAUACCCUCGAGGAAGGACAUCACCCACAGAAGAAGCACCGGCUAACUCCGUGCCAGCAGCCGCGGUAAUACGGAGGGUGCGAGCGUUAAUCGGAAUUACUGGGCGUAAAGCGCGCGUAGGCGGUCUGAUAAGCCGGUUGUGAAAGCCCCGGGCUCAACCUGGGAACGGCAUCCGGAACUGUCAGGCUAGAGUGCAGGAGAGGAAGGAAGAAUCCCCGGUGUAGCGGUGAAAUGCGUAGAGAUCGGGAGGAAUACCAGUGGCGAAGGCGGCCUUCUGGACUGACACUGACGCUGAGGUGCGAAAGCGUGGGUAGCAAACAGGAUUAGAUACCCUAGUAGUC